rnacentral:rRNA from 1 species
UACGUAGGGUGCAAGCGUUGUCCGGAAUUAUUGGGCGUAAAGAGCUCGUAGGCGGUUUGUCGCGUCUGCUGUGAAAACUCGGGGCUUAACCCCGGGCCUGCAGUGGGUACGGGCAGACUAGAGUGCGGUAGGGGAGACUGGAAUUCCUGGUGUAGCGGUGAAAUGCGCAGAUAUCAGGAGGAACACCGGUGGCGAAGGCGGGUCUCUGGGCCGUAACUGACGCUGAGGCGCGAAAGCUAGGGGAGCAAACAGG